GAACGAGAAAGAUUCCACCAAACAUCGCUGUUUUUUCUCACCUCCUCGCGCAUACCCGCUUGCGUACCCGCCCGACACAGCCUCCCAAUCCUCCGUGAAAUCAGCCAAUUAGUCAAUUCAAUUUGGAAGCAAUCCACCGCUUCCAUUCUCCUCCCGAUCCUCGACGCCCCUACACCUCCCCAUCUGCACUGCGAGGGCGAGGGGAGGCCGGGUGGGAUGAUGAGGCGGAGCAGGGACGCCGGUGAGGGGCGGAUGGCGUCUGGCGAGGCCGCACUGGCGCGGCCGGCGAAGUGAGGUGCAGCACGCCGGUGGAGGGGUGGAUGGUCGGGCCAGCGCAGGGAGCCGUGCACCAUUAGAGGGGCGGAGGGCGAGGCGGCGGCACGGCGCAGGGAACAAGCCCCACGGCCGACGAAGCGCCGCGAGGAACUUCUGGAGGGGCGGACCGGUGGAGGUUCGGGAUGGUACAGGGAUGGCGGAGGUUCCGGAUCCGCAUCGCCAUGCCGCGGCUACCCCUCCCCAUAUGGAAGGAGCUCGAGCAGCGGUCCGGCGCUCGAUUUCGUCGCGUGGAGGCGAAGCUGGCCACCAGGUACGCAUGGCACUCCAAAUUCGCCGCCGCCAAGUAAGGAAUACUCCCAAGUAAGACGCGUACCAACUCCAUGAGUCAAAGACCUCCGUGGGCCGCCUCGCUGAGAAGCUCUCCGCACCCGCUUCAGUAUCCGGCGCGGCGUCGGCGCCACCCUCCCCCAACGUGCUCCCGGAGAUCCUCCGCCACACCGUGCCCAUCAGAGGGCCGCCUCGCUGAGAAGCUCUCCGCAACCGCGAGCGUCCACCCCGACGCGCUCAACCUGCUCCUUUCCUACGUCUCGCUGCUGCAGGCCACCUUCGGCUCAAAAAGGUAUUAGCCUCUCCCAGUCUCUCUCCCAUUGUAUUGUGUACACAGAUAAUUUCCAGCAGGCGUGAAGUGAAAAAAACAAAUCAAUACCAAUUUACAUGUACACUAUAGUGGCACAGGUGAAGUGAAAAGAGCAAAUCUUCAUAUUUUUAUAUGCAAACGAUGGUUAAAAAAGAAACUUUCAUUCAGAUAGGAUCAUCUUUUUCUUCGGAUUCUUUUUUCAGAAGUGCUCAACAUAACCUUAUCAAGCUUAUUUAGUAUCCUGUCGAUGUUUGCUCUUGUUUGCAUACUUUGAAAGCAACAGCUUUCUGUCCACUAUGAUUAUCAAGCGUAUUAAGUAUCAUGGGCUUUGGUGAUUGAUUCAUGUGAGCAGUGAUUAUCAAGCUUUAGUUGCUGCUAUUCUUCUCGGUAAUUUUUAAAUGCCAAGCAGGCUCCUCUGGUGGUUGAUAAUUAUAGAUUCAUGUGUAGAGAUAUUACAUAUUUUUACCUUGUUGGAAGUAGUACUUGUUCAGCAAAAUGUCGGUUUCCUCCCAUGUAUAGAAAUAGAAGUUAUAAAGAUCAAAAGUAGUACACAGGCAACUUUUUAGCUUAUGGUUGUGAACAUUAGUACGUAGCUUUUCACAGAAAGAAAUAAAAUGAUUACAUGGUCAAAAUAGUUAUAUUGAUGGUACCUGAACCAAAACUUGCUUAAGAAUCAUGACUAUGUUCAUGACAUUGUUGCUCUGUCUUGUAUUUAUUCUUUUUUCCAUGAUAUUUUUUAUGAGUGUAUUGUUACAUGUCGAGGAUAUUGCUUUCUGAUCUUUUUUUUUUCCCUCCUUUGCAUAUAUACACCAUAUGGAGGCUACAUUCUAGCAGUACAUCAAGAGAAAUAAUGAGGUGCUUCUACAGGUAUGAUGCUGCUCAGUAUUUUCGAAUAAGCCGAAACAUCCAAUGAGAGUAAUUAUCCUUGAAAUAUGAAAACUGGUCAUUUUGUAAAGCAGGUUCAAUUUUAAAAGGCUCUAUCACAUGGUCUCUGAAUGUCUAGACUCUUGGGUGCCUAUAAUAAUUGUUGUGUGCCUGCAGGGUUCUAUGAGGUCUCUUUCUUGUUAGUGGUUAGAUGACAAGAGUGCUCAAAAUGUGGUUGGUGGUUUCUGAAUGGUUCCUAUUGGGGGAAUAUAGAGGCUAGAUAUGCUUUACACUCUUCAGAAAUAUAAUCUUUACCAUUAUAUUAUAUUUAGAUAUUCAGUAUAGUAUUAGAUUAUAUAUAUUUAGCUCAAUAUAUUCCAAUCAUGAUGUUUCCUGAGAUAGCAUGGAUUUAUAUAUAAUAAAUCUUAUCUAAACUAAGAUAAGUUCUUGCAUGCUCCUAGACUACAAAAGAGAAAAAACAAUUUUAAGAGGCCAAAGCAUCUUCAUUAAUUCUUUUUAAUUUGGCUUACUAGCUGUCUGUAAAACUUGGUUAUGGUCUGAGAAACACAACUCUAAAUGUCUGCCACUUGAAACUGAGAACCAAAUUUUCCUUUUUAAUACAUUGGAUAUUACAUAUAUGUUUAUUUUUGGGAACCACCUUUUUUAUGGAGUGUACUUGCAAAAAAUUAGACAUAGAUAUCGUAUCGUCAUCAAUUUUUUGGGUUUCCAUUUCAAUCCCAUGGGUAAGCUUAGUUAUUUAGUAAUAAUAUGAUUUGGAACGAUAUUAAUGCUAUGCGACUAAAUUUGAGUACCAGCAUUUAAAUCAUAGUUUGAUAAUUAUUAACCUUGCCUAAGUUUCAUCAUUGCUCAUGAUGGCUGAGUAGGACCAAUUGUUCUAUGUCUAGAAUUGUAUCCUGUGCUUCACCCAACUAUGAUAUUAUGCUCUAAAUUUCAGCUACCAUUGCUGCACAUGAGCAGAGAUUGUGGAGCCCGCACUGCCACUCUAUGAUGGCAUGUUUUAGGCUAAAAAGCUUGGAUUGUCAAAGGAGUAGCUGCUGGAAAUUCUACCAUGUGUGGAUGGUGCCUUAUUAAAUUAAGAAUACUAUUAGAGAUCCAGAGGACUCCACAAAAACUUAUCCCUGUUUCAACCCAGAAGAUACAUCAGGUUUCAGGGACCUAGAUAAACACGGAGUUUUAGGCUUUUAUCUUUCUGAAAGCUAAAUGACUUCACAUCGUUCAGUAAGGAAAAAAGUCGAGAGACCUCAAUCCGGAAGCUGAAGCUGUAGACGUGGUAUGGUGAACUGCUAAGGAAGCAUCUGCAGUAAUUGCAAGCAAAUCGAUUCAGAUUAAGUUUUGCAAGCAAAUUACCUGAAUCAUGAUUGCUUGAAUCUUGAUACAUUUGAUGAGUAGAAAUAACGAAAAGUGUUGUUCAGUGCCAAAUCUCUUAUUAGUACUAUUGAUAUUGCACUCCUGAUUCGAUUACAAUCACCAGUAAGACGCUUUGCUCAAUAUGAAGUAUAUCCCUCGAUCUCCAGGGUCGAUUGUACCAGGAUACAUUUUAGGAGGUUCUAUUUGCAUAUCUAUCUAUGCUAACCUCUUUUUAUAUUUUGAAGAUAUGUCAGUAUCUGAAUUAGCAACAUAAAUCCGUAUAUUGAGAGAUUGCCUGAAUGUUGAGAGAUUUAUAUUGUAAUAGUGAACACAUCUUCUCUGUGCACAGUUAGUAGAUAAUGAAACCCUGAACAGACAAUAUUUGUCCUUUAAUCAGGAUUGAGAUAAGGAAAUAAAGUAAUGGAUUAGUGUUUGGGUGUUAUCUGUUUUGUUGAAAGUUUUCCCAUGCUUAUAUACUCCACGAUCCAAACUUAAAUGGGUGUUACAUACAAAGAUAUGAAAAUUGGAUCCGAUUAGCAGCAAUGCUAGGAGGAAUUAGUUUAUUGGAGGAAACAGAUAUAUCCUAUAGACCUUAUUACCAGCAAUGUUCUUCUGUCUAUUUCAUGCUUGUCCCUAUCCUCCUAAACUAAUUUUGUUAAACCCGUGGCUGAUGAUAAUUCGGUUAAGCUAUCCUAACUAACCAUCGUGUAUAUGGGAUGCACGAGGAUAUAUUUGCUACUCAUCAAUAGUAGAACCCAUCAAUGUAUUUCAUGAUUCCAGUUCUAUCUUCUAUUUUUGCACUCAUAUGGCAGUAACAACAUGCUAUUUUUGUUCCAGGAUGCUACAUGAGCGCUUCAGUUCCAGCUCAAUCUGCAUACAUGAUUUGUUUCCAAGAAGUCCUUAUGGUCAUUGUGCCUGUCUAACCAAAGACGAGUCAAGGUUUCAUACAAUUUAUUGGCUAGAAUAAUCUCCUGUGACCCAUUCGGUUACCAACUCUCUCAAACGUGUGGUGGUCAUCGUGUCAUCUGUUCUCUUCUUCAGAACUCCACUUUUACCUUGCCUUAGGCAUGU